AAAAAAAGAAAAAAACCUACAAAACUAAACUAACUUCGGGGCAAGGAACCCCUUUUACAUCAUCUCUCAUUAAACUAACUAAAUCUAUCGGGGGAACAUCCAGAAAGUAAAGAGACUCCCUGUACUUGAUGCUACUGUGCGCUAGCCAAUGUGCACACUGAUUGGCUUCUCUACCAAUAUGAAUAAAAGCAAUUUCCCAUGGUCUACGAAGGAUUUUGUGAAUCUCGUUUAGCACUUUGUUGUGACAUAAUUUUUCUGUCUUAUACUCCUUCAAAGCCUCGUAAACUUCCUUUGCAUCUACUUCCACCUCCACUCUUCUCAUUCCCAGGUCUGCUGCCAUGUGAAGUCCAUGGAGGACGCCCCACAACUCAGCUUGCACUGGUUGGCAUCUUCCCAAAUUUGCCCGAAAACCCCCAAUCCACUCCCCAUUAUGGGUUCGAAGAAGACCUCCACACCCAGCCUUCAUUGUUCUUUCUUGUGAUGUGCCAUCGGUAUUCAAUUUAACCCACCCUCUUUUGGGUGGGAUCCAAUGAUUCACUGGGCGGAGGAAACUUGGAUUGUGAACCUCUUCAUUUCGCCACUUCCAAAGCCAAUAGCAGAGGCAUUGUGAAAAAGAGAGCAAUAGCAUUUGGGUGUACUAAUUUGGCCCAGAUCCUGGAUGCGCUAGGACAGUCUCGCAGCACGUGGAGGAUCGAUUCUUUCACUUGGGGACAAUUAUGACAGUAAGGAGAAGUUCCCAUCAUUCUGGCUUUUCUAUCUGCUGUCAUCAACCUUCCAUGAUUCAUGAGCCACAAAAAGACGUAUAAAUGGAGUAGUAUGAGAGAAUCUCGUUUGCAACUAGAGAUGUUAAUGAGGCAGGGUGGGGGCGGAAGAUGUCUCCUUGCUUCCCAUCCUGGCCCUAGAAUUAAUCUUCGUCUCCGUUCCGUUUUUUGCCAUGAGAAAAUAAUUGUUCUCAUCUCCAUUCUCAGUGUUUCCUGUAUUUUUUGCGGAACCUCAUUCUUCCUCUCCUUAUGUGUUAACAUCCAUAUGAAAAUUAUAAUAAAAAAUAUAAAAACAAAAAAAACAAACUACAAAAUAUUAUUACAAACACACAAACAUAUCUUAUCCAAGAUUAUAAGUCUAGAAAUAUAAUAUAGCAAAUUAUAGUCCAUAAAAUAAAAUCUUAAACAAUAGGGUUAGGAUUUUUCAAUGAGUGAAAUUACUAAAAAAACUCCUAUAUUAAAAAUAAAGUAAGGAUUAUUAAGUAAGUUAAAAAAUUCGAAAAAUUAUCGAAGAUGGGGCGAGAUUCUCGCUCGACUCCCCGCCUGUCUCGAGAAAAUUUCGCUCCCCAUCCCCAUUUUCACGAAAAAAUUUCUCCAUCAUUAAAGCCUCAUUCAAGACGGUUUCCGCCAAAAUUCUCACAUCCUGAAAAUUUUUGACACUCCUAUUUAUAAUUGGUGUGUUCAUAAUUAAAUUUGAUAUUUUGUCAGCUAUGUUAAACUGCAAUAGUGACUAUCU